GCAAACUGGGGAGGGGGAUCCCUCCCGCGGUCAGGGGUACCGUGCAUUUUACCCUUUUUUUAUCUAUAGUUAAUUAAAAGAGAUUAAACAAUAUUUAGUUAUAUGAUAAUAAUUUAAUAAAACGGCAAAAUCUUUAAACACCUUGGGAGAGGGAGGUCUUGGAUUCAAGUCCCACAUACGACAUGAAUAAAAGAAAUUUACCGUUCAAAAUAAAAUUAAUAAAACGGUAAUAUAAAUAUAUUUGACGGAUGAAAUAAAAUAAACGCUAAUAAGUGGAAAGAAGUAUAUAAGCAAAUAGUGGAUUCCAAGCGUAUAAGUGGUGCUGGAUAUUAAAAUCAAUGUUGAUGUUAUAGGUACGAUAAUUUCUAUUUUUUAUUGUGAAAUUUUGUUUGGCGAUAAUUGUUUGCAAAGAAUUUGAUAACUUAAAAUAUCUAAAAUCUAGUAGGAGGGUUAUCUAUAGUUAAUUAAAAGAGAUUAAUUAAAAUAAUAAUUAUCUAUAAGAGAUGGCUUAGUAUGAUGACAAGUGUCCCUAAAGUGAUUUCUUUUAUUAUAUAGUAUAGAUUUGAAAAUUCGAUAUUCAAUUCGAUGAACACCCCUACAUUAAUAUAUGAUUAUAUUUGAACACGCGUAUAAUGUUGAUUUAAUAAAAGAAAAACGUUACAAUUAAUAAUUAUAUAACUUUGCAUUCUAACUGCAUGUCUUAUAGAAUUAUUUUAUAAAAAAAACUGUAAUAAUAACCGGGGGUAAAAUAGUAAUUUUGACUCAAAAACAUAUUCCAAAAUGGUUAGGUGGAAGAUUUCAAGCACAUGAAUAACUAUGGGCCACUUAUUCUAGAAAAAAGUGAACAAAUUAAAGAGAUUCAUCCAAAAAAUACUGAAAGUGGAUAGCAGAAAAACAAGGUCCCAUACUUAAAUCAAUAUGCAAAGACCACUCUGCAGGGCCAAAAAUACUGACAUACUCUUCAAAAUGAUUAAAAGCAGCCAACUUUCAUAAAGAAAAAAAAAACAUCAUAUUUCAAAAACUAAAAAAAAAAAAAAAAAAAAAAAAACCUUAGCCCAUUUCCAAAGCGUAAACUGACGAAUUUACUGCAGUGUACUAACUCGAUUGCACGUAAUACAACUCACGAUAGCAUCAUUCCUAUCUCGAAUCGAAAUCAACAUCACUUAUGCUAUUUUACUUGGGACACAAAAACAUAAAAUAAAGAUAAAAGAUAAGAAGUGAUACCUAGUCUUUGGAGUUUGCAUUGUCUAGUAUGCCCUUGAGUAAAAGCAAUCCUGUGAAAAAGGCCCACUUGAAUAAAGAAGUUGACCCACAGUUCCUAUAAUGGUUUGCAGAGGAAUGCUUGCUUGGGUCAGAAAGAAACAUUUGUUUAUAUAUAUAUAUAUAUAUGUAUGCAAAUUGCAAUGCAUAUGUGAAAGCAUACCAACAGAUGAUGUCACCAAGGAAACCUAAACUUUAAUCAAUGUCAAAAAGAAAGAAAUAACAAAACAAACCCAAGUUUUAAACAAACAACACAAUCCUUUAAAGAAACUCCAAACUCCAUAUAAACUAACCCCACUCACUCCCAACAACCAAACUAACACCACAAGAAAAAGUGUUACUCACCGCAAUUUAAAAAUCAAAGUGUCCCGAAAAUAUCUUGUGGUGUUUCCAUUCUUAAAAUGUGUUUCAAGCUAUAAUUUGAUGUUCGUCUUGAUCCAUUUAUCAAAGGGUAUUUAAUACAUUUGAAUGAUGGUCAAUCGUUUUUCUUGGAAUAUGUUCAACGGGCAAGGUAAAUCGUAAAAGGCGCAUGGCCUUCAAGGGGUUAAAAUUAUAGGGAUGAACAUCUGGUACCAGGUACCGAUACCAAAUUUCCCGUACCGAUUAGGUACCCACUUUUUGGCGUUUUCGGUACCGGUAUUUUGGUUUGGUACGGUAGUACGGUACCGGUUUUCUACCGAAUGUUACCUUUAAAUACUGGUACUGUACUGUACCCUACUGAGAAUUUUCGGUACCGGUACCUGUAUUUGGUGAUUUUCGGUAGCAAUACCGAGCUCAUCCCUAGUUAAAAACAAAAGACAGUGGAGACGAGAAUCGAACCUGAGACCUCUGCCCGAUGGAAUCAGGCGCUUACAACCGCGCCAGUCUCUUGAAGGUUAAAAAAUGAUAUUAAUUUUUUAUUUUGGAGAAAACUAGGUUGGAUAUUCAUGAUCGAAAACGGAUUCUUGUUGUUGGAUGAAGGACUAAUAAGAGAAAAAGAUGUAACAAUAGAAAGAAAGACAGACAUCAGCAAUCAAAACCAUCUUUACGCUUUUCCUCUUUAACUUCCUUUUCACUCCUCAUAUGUUUAUGCUAUGUUUUAAAAACAUUAUUAUUAUUCACAAAACAUCAUACAACAAUAGUUUAAUGUAGAAGAAAAAAACAGAAUUAUUUGCACAAGAUCAUGUUUAAAAACAUUAUCAUCAACGAUCAAUCAAGACUGUUUUUUUUCCCAUAAUCUACCUAAUAGUUGCUCAUUUCACAUUAGGAAGUCAAUGGAUCCUUGUGAGUUUAGUUAAAUAAGAAGUUUGACCACAAAAAGUCAAUAAAAAUAUCUCUAAUGUUUGAAACACAGGAACUGUAUUGAAUUAUCAUUAUCACUCACAUAACCUCAAACACCAUGUU
rnacentral:lncRNA from 1 species